rnacentral:ncRNA from 1 species
UAAGUGAAGAGUUUGAUCCUGGCUCAGAGUGAACGCUGGCGGCAGGCCUAACACAUGCAAGUCGAACGGCAGCACAGGGGAGCUUGCUCCCUGGGUGGCGAGUGGCGGACGGGUGAGGAAUACGUCGGAAUCUGCCUAUUUGUGGGGGAUAACGUAGGGAAACUUACGCUAAUACCGCAUACGACCUACGGGUGAAAGCGGAGGACCUUCGGGCUUCGCGCAGAUAGAUGAGCCGACGUCGGAUUAGCUAGUUGGCGGGGUAAAGGCCCACCAAGGCGACGAUCCGUAGCUGGUCUGAGAGGAUGAUCAGCCACACUGGAACUGAGACACGGUCCAGACUCCUACGGGAGGCAGCAGUGGGGAAUAUUGGACAAUGGGCGAAAGCCUGAUCCAGCCAUGCCGCGUGUGUGAAGAAGGUCUUCGGAUUGUAAAGCACUUUAAGUUGGGAGGAAGGGUAGUAACUUAAUACGUUGCUAUUUUGACGUUACCGACAGAAUAAGCACCGGCUAACUUCGUGCCAGCAGCCGCGGUAAUACGAAGGGUGCAAGCGUUAAUCGGAAUUACUGGGCGUAAAGCGCGCGUAGGUGGUUCAGUAAGUUGGAUGUGAAAUCCCCGGGCUCAACCUGGGAACUGCAUCCAAAACUGCUGAACUAGAGUACGGUAGAGGGUGGUGGAAUUUCCUGUGUAGCGGUGAAAUGCGUAGAUAUAGGAAGGAACACCAGUGGCGAAGGCGACCAC